CUGACAGUUGCCAUCCCCAUCGUUCCGAGAAUUCCUAGUGCGUAGCCACGCAACGGGAUAUCGCACUGCGUUCCCUAUUCCCUCCUCCUGCACUCCCAGCUUGCCUAGCUGCAUCACCUUCCCAGUAAAAGGAACAAAGAAGUUAGAGACCACAGCAAAGGAGGAAGAGACGCUAAGGAGGGGAAGAGGAGGACAUUUCUGCCUGGUGGCAGCUCAGAAAUUCAGGGGCAGGAAUGGUUUCCCAAUCUUGAAGUCUGGCUUCUUAUUUUUCCACUAGUAGCUUACCGGAUCUCUGUAACAGAACACUCGGCUCUUACAGACAGCAGACCAGUCCAGCCAGGUCAAGACCACCAGAGCUAUGUGAUGAUGAAGAAAGUCAUAGGUGAGAGCUGAGUAGCUCACAACAGUUGACCAGAUGUAGAAUGUGUGAUUACACAGAUCCGUGGAAUAAGUGCAGAAGUGGAAAUGUUUGGAGGGAAAGGAGAAGGAGAAAGAUGAGAUAUGAGGUCAAGAGAGCGUCAUCUAAGGAACCUAUUGAAGGUCUUCAAAUCAGCUUAUCUUGGCAAGGAAGGAUUCUAGGAAGAAUCAGAAAUCUAUCUUUCAAUGCAGAAGAAUGAUGACUCCUGAUGCAGUUCUAAAAAGGUUUAUGCUGUAUGAAUGUUUGUUGCAAAAUGGCUGCAAUGGAGUUCGAUAUUUGGAAAUAUAUCCUACACAUGAAAGAUUUAUUGGAAAAUAGAAUAACUUGUGAUCAGAAUAAGGAAGUCAGCAAAAUAAACGGAAAAUGAACUAGAUCACAUCUGAAGAGGAAUAUUGAAAGAACAAUCUAAGGAGUGAAGUAAUUGUAAAGCAUUUCAGAUCGUUUUUUGAACAAGAAGUUCUAAAGUUUAUGCCACAUGAUUUCAGCGUGGAGUUUAACAUGCUGCUGAAAUUAUGGUCCAUUCUAAAUACAUUUAUUAGGGGAAUUAGCAGCUGGAAUUUCCAUGAUGGGUCAUCUUCAAGCUGGAGAUCCUGGGACUAUAGUGGCAUAGCUAAGUCCAAGUUUAACUCUUAGUUCAAGGUUGAAAGCUGAGCAGCCUUGGGGGGACUGCUGGAGUCCAAAGACAAGGAAGCUUGGAAUUCUCAUGUCCAAGGCG
rnacentral:lncRNA from 1 species